rnacentral:rRNA from 1 species
CGGUCGGCCAUAUGGGAGAGCUCCCAACGCGUUGGAUGCAUGGCUUGAGUAUUCUAUAGUGUCACCUAAAUAGCUUGGCGUAAUCAUGGUCAUAGCUGUUUCCUGAGCCUGUUUCCUGAUCGACGGAAUGAUGGUACUAAAUGUUUCCUGACGAAUUGAGGGGCCCGCCGGCUAAUUGCUUUUUGGUGAGGUAACGGGUCACCUGAAUCACGACGGGGAGCCUACCUGAUAGGGUGACCGGUCACACUGGGACUGAGACACGGCCCAGACUCCUAGAGGAGGCAACAGUGGGGAAUAUUGCACAAUGGGCGCAAGCCUGAUGCAGCGACGCCGCGUGCGGGAUGACGGCCUUCGGGUUGUAAACCGCUUUCGACAGGGACGAAGCGCAAGUGGCUGUACCUGUAGAAUAAGGACCGGCCAACUACGUGCCAGCAGCCGCGGUAAUACGUUGGGUCCGAGCGUUGUCCGGAAUUACUGGGCGUAAAGAGCUUGUAGGCGGUUCGUCGCGUCGUUUGUGAAAACUUGGGGCUCAACCUUAAGCUUGCAGGCGACACGGGCGGACUAGAGUACUUCAGGGGAGACUGGAAUUCCUGGUGUAGCGGUGAAAUGCGCAGAUAUCAGGAGGAACACCGGUGGCGAAGGCGGGUCUCUGGGAAGUAACUGACGCUGAGAAGCGAAAGCAUGGGUAGCAAACAGGAUUAGAUACCCUGGUAGUCCAUGCCGUAAACGGUGGGUACUAGGUGUGGGGCUCCUUCCACGGACUCCGUGCCGUAGCUAACGCAUUAAGUACCCCGCCUGGGGAGUACGGCCGCAAGGCUAAAACUCAAAUGUAUUGACGGGG